UACGUAGGGUGCAAGCGUUAAUCGGAAUACUGGGCGUAAAGCGUGCGCAGGCGGUUUCGUAAGUCUGUCGUGAAAUCCCCCGGGCUUAACCUGGGAAUGGCGAUGGAGACUGCGAGGCUAGAGUUUGGCAGAGGGGGGGGUAGAAUUCCACGUGUAGCAGUGAAAUGCGUAGAGAUGUGGAGGAACACCGAUGGCGAAGGCAGCCCCCUGGGUCAACACUGACGCUCAUGCACGAAAGCGUGGGGAGCAAACAGG
rnacentral:rRNA from 1 species